GAAAUGCGAUACGUAAUGUGAAUUGCAGAAUUCAGUGAAUCAUCAAAUCUUUGAACGCAAGUGGCGCUCUCACGCUCGCGUGGGAGCAUGCCUCUUUCAGCAUCGGUUAUUCUAAACUCAUCUGCUUGCAGAUGGAGAAUGAGUUGUCGCUUGUCUCUCUCUCUCUCUCUUGGGAGAAGGAAGAGCGUCACUUCAAGUUUGGCGAGCUCAGUCGCAAGUUUCACUGAGAAAGUGACGUUGGUAGGUAAUAAAAGGCUUCGGCCUUUGUUUACUUCACGCCGCGUCUGCUUUCGGUUGCAGGUGAAGCUGCCCUCUCGGGUCUUUUUCUAGCAAUAGAGAGAACUUGGAGGACGACUAGCGUAGGAGCAGUCUUGUUGUUGUUGUUGUUGUUGUUGUUUGCACAAACAAACAAACAAACAAACAAGCAAACAAACGAGUCGCUGUUCAGCCUUAACGACUUGAUCUGAAAUGAGGUAAGAGGACCCGCCGAAUUUAAGC
rnacentral:misc_RNA from 1 species